CAAACCUUCUGGAAAAGAAAAGUGGGUGAGUGUGUGUAGUGUGUGUGCGUGAUUUUGAAGAAGAGAAAAAGGAAGAAAAGCUCACUAUUUAUGUAACAAUUCAAAUGAUUCCUCCAUUCUAAGUGAUAAUAAUCCAUCUCAAACCACAACAAAUCCUCUUUUUAUCUCAAUUCAAAAAGUGCAUAGUAGGUGUGUGUUCUUGGUGAAAUCACUAGGUGUAAAAGAUGGGUUUUUAGAGAUGAUGACUUUGGGUAAAAUUGAAGAUAGGGAAAGCUCAUGCAAUGAAUUAGGAUGAUUAUGCAAGUGAUCACUUCAAGUUUCUAAUUAUCUUGAUCAUCUCAUUUUUUAGGAGUAAAUGACUUGGGCUAAGGGCGAUAAUGGAUUAAUUAUGCUUGUUUGGGCAAGGUGGAAGCUUGAUUUGCUUAGGAUUUAAGCUAAUUCGGGUCGUAGCUUUGGAUCUAUUUUAGUGCACGAUAAGGCCAACUUAAGAAGCUGUUCUAUAACAACUUGAUUUGUUCGGAAACCUGGAGCCAGAUUAGGAUCUACAAUCAUAAGUUGCCCGUUAAUUCCAUCUGAAAGCGCCUGUUCUACUAGUUGAGGCAGAGUCAGAUUGAUUCCCGCCUGUUGGAUGCAGAAGAGACACAACUUCCAUCCUGCUGAUGAACUCCAACGAUUAUUCGAGCCAUUCCGAAAUCACUGAUAUGAGCAUUCCAUCUUUCAUCCAGAAGUAUGUUUGAUGGCUUUAAAUCACAAUGAAUUAUCGGGAAAUCAUAUCCCGAAUGCAAAUAAGCCAAUCCCGAAGCAACAGAAACCAAAAUAUCUACUCUCUUAGACAGCCCCCAUCCUGACCUGUCAAAUGUGGAUUCAUGUAUAAAAGUAUCCAAAUUACCAUUUUCCAUGUAUUCAAGAACCAUGGCCUUUAUCCUCUCACUCUCCCAUGCAUAUCCAAGUACUUUCAAUAGAUUUUUAUGUCUCAAUUUGCCUAAUGUUUCCAUUUCUCUUUGAAAGCUCUUAACCGAUACCGUCGAAUGCUGCUUAAACUUGAAGUUCUUCACUACUAUCAUCCUCCCAUUUUCUAGCUUACCUUUGUACAUGGUGCUUAAUCCGCCUGUACCCAAAACGUUACCUUCACUGAAAUUGUCAGUAGCAUCUUCCAGCUCUUUCCUAUAAAAUCGUUUGUAAUCUAACCUUGGUAUGUAGGGCUCUGGUUUUGCACUCUCUAGAUCUCUUAAUUUCUUUUUUCUAACAACGCGACAAAUCAAAAAUGCAAACGUAAGUAUGAUAAAAACAGCAAUACAUGACACUGCCCCGGAAAUUGCAGCAGUUCUUUGAAAUGAAUGAUUUGGUGGACUUUUUUCUUCAAGUGCUAAACUCUUUAGUGAUCUACUCAAGGUGCAUAAUUGGGUUUUUUUAAUACAAAGAGACGGGUUUCCAGAGUUUUGGCUUAAGUCAAGAAACUUAAGGCUGGAAAGUUUCCCGAGAAAUCGGGAGACUUCAGCUUUGAGCUUCUUUCCAUGUAAAGAAAUCGAAACAACAUGUCUCGAGAAAUGAUCACAUUCGAUCCCAAACCAGUUACAAUGAUGGGUGGAACCGGAAUUCCAAUCCGUAAGUGCAUCAGUUGGGUCUUCCGUGAUCGAAUCCUUGAAGAAUUUCAUAGCCUCGAUCUCUAUAGAUAGAUCAUGAUCACCAAGAACCAGGUAAGGCAAAAGUAUUAUUAGUACAAGGCUUAUUUUCAACGCCAUUGUUUGACUUUUCAAAUGUGAAUUAAUAAUGCUUUAAGCAACAAACUCGUUAUUAGGAGUAUAAGUCCUCAGAGCUCACUGCUCAGAAACUUCCCAUACAUUAUUAUUAGGACUUUAGGAGUAUUGAAUAAAGCAGUUUGUUCACAAAU